rnacentral:lncRNA from 1 species
GACAAUUUAGCUAAGUAUAUUUAUUGAACCCAUCAACAAAUAACAAUAACACAGCAAUUUUUUUUUCCCUACCUGAAAUGAAGCUUUUCAUUGAUUAACAAACAAAAGUUACAUUUCUUCAGCAGAACAAUCACAGCUUGAACUAAUAAUUGAAAAUGUUGCUAAAUCGUGACUUUUCAAUAGCUAAGGCACCAAAUCCCAAAAAAAAAUAAUAAUAAGGAAAUUACUUAAGUCACAGGGCUGUGACUUUUUUUUUUUUAAUUUAACUCAUUAACAAUAACAAAGAAAAACAGGAAAUUACUUAAGUCACAGGGCUGUGACAAUAAUAAUAAGGAAAUUACUUAAGUCACAGGGCUGUGACUUUUUUUUUUUUAAUUUAACUCAUUAACAAUAACAAAGAAAAACAUCUCAUUUCCACGUAAAAUGAAACUUUUCGUUGAUUGGAAAGCAAAGAACAAAGAAAAGCUGUAUUUCUUGCAGCCAAACAAUCACAGCUUGAACUAUCAAUAAAAUGUUUAAGUAAGGCACCAAAUUCAAAAAAGAAAAUUACUUAAGGCACAAUCCUGUGACUUUUUAGCCUACCAAUCCAAGCAACGAAGGAAUUCUUAGAAUUCCUGAAACCCAGGAACCCGUGCUCCUUACUCUUGUUCAUGCUAACUGAAUAACCCGCACCAACAUUCAUCACCAUAUCUGCAUACGACCAAACAGCGACCUCAUUCAAUUUUGUUGGCUGCAACUGAUUCUCUCUCACAAUCUCCUCCCACACACUUUCUUUAC